rnacentral:rRNA from 1 species
UAAGCGGAAUAUGUCAUGUAGCGGUGAAAUGCUUAGAUAUGACAUAGAACACCCAUUGCGAAGGCAGCUUACUACGCAUAUAUUGACGCUGAGGCACGAAAGCGUGGGGAUCAAACAGGAUUAGAUACCCUGGUAGUCCACGCCGUAAACGAUGGAUACUAGCUGUUCGGGGCAACCUGAGUGGCUAAGCGAAAGUGAUAAGUAUCCCACCUGGGGAGUACGUUCGCAAGAAUGAAACUCAAAGGAAUUGACGGGGGCCCGCACAAGCGGUGGAGCAUGUGGUUUAAUUCGAUGAUACGCGAGGAACCUUACCAAGGCUUAAAUGUAGAUUGACCGGUUUGGAAACAGACUUUUCGCAAGACAAUUUACAAGGUGCUGCAUGGUUGUCGUCAGCUCGUGCCGUGAGGUGUCAGGUUAAGUCCUAUAACGAGCGCAACCCCUGUUGUUAGUUGCCAGCGAGUCAAGUCGGGAACUCUAACAAGACUGCCAGUGUAAACUGUGAGGAAGGUGGGGAUGACGUCAAAUCAUCACGGCCCUUACGCCUUGGGCUACACACGUGCUACAAUGGACGGUACAGAGAGCAGCCACUGGGUGACCAGGAGCGAAUCUACAAAACCGUUCUCAGUUCGGAUCGGA